rnacentral:rRNA from 1 species
GACGAACGCUGGCGGCGUGCUUAACACAUGCAAGUCGAACGGAAAGGCCCUGCUUUUGUGGGGUGCUCGAGUGGCGAACGGGUGAGUAACACGUGAGUAACCUGCCCUGGACUUUGGGAUAACUUCAGGAAACUGGGGCUAAUACCGGAUAGGAGCUCCUGCUGCAUGGUGGGGGUUGGAAAGUUUCGGCGGAUGGGGAUGGACUCGCGGCUUAUCAGCUUGUUGGUGGGGUAGUGGCUUACCAAGGCUUUGGCGGGUAGCCGGCCUGAGAGGGUGACCGGCCACAUUGGGACUGAGAUACGGCCCAGACUCCUACGGGAGGCAGCAGUGGGGAAUAUUGCACAAUGGGCGGAAGCCUGAUGCAGCAACGCCGCGUGCGGGAUGACGGCCUUCGGGUUGUAAACCGCUUUCGCCUGUGACGAAGCGUGAGUGACGGUAAUGGGUAAAGAAGCACCGGCUAACUACGUG